UACGUAGGGUGCAAGCGUUGUCCGGAAUUAUUGGGCGUAAAGAGCUCGUAGGCGGCCUGUCACGUCGACUGUGAAAACCCAGGGCUCAACCCUGGGCCUGCAGUCGAUACGGGCAGGCUAGAGUGUGGUAGGGGAGACUGGAACUCCUGGUGUAGCGGUGAAAUGCGUAGAUAUCAGGAGGAACACCGGUGGCGAAGGCGGGUCUCUGGGCCGAUACUGACGCUGAGGAGCGAAAGCGUGGGGAGCGAACAGG
rnacentral:rRNA from 1 species